GAUGAACGCUGGCGGCGUGCCUAAUACAUGCAAGUCGAGCGAACAGACGAGGAGCUUUCUCCUCUGACGUUAUCGGCGGACGGGUGAGUAACACGUGGAUAACCUACCUAUAAGACUGGGAUAACUUCGGGAAACCGGAGCUACUACCGGAUAAUAUAUUGACCCGCAUGGUUCAAUAGUGAAAUACGAUUUUUCUGUCACUUAUAGCUGGAACCGCGCCGGAUUAGCUAGUUGGUAAGGUAACGGCUUACCAAGGCGACGAUCCGUAGCCGGCCUGAGAGGAUGAUCAGCCACACUCGAAGGGAGACACGGGCCAGGAUCCUACGGGAAGGAGCAGUGGGGAAUAUUGGACAAUGGGCGAGAGCCUGAUCCAUCAAUGCCGCGUAAAUGAUGAAGAUCUGGGGAUAAUAAAGGUCUAAUACCCGGGAUGAUAAUGACAGGACCGUAAUAAGAAGCCCCGGCUAACUCCGUG
rnacentral:rRNA from 1 species